rnacentral:rRNA from 1 species
UACGAAGGGGGCUAGCGUUGCUCGGAUUUACUGGGCGUAAAGGGCGCGUAGGCGGAUAGUUAAGUUGGGGGUGAAAGCCCGGGGCUCAACCUUGGAAUUGCCUUUGAUACUGGCUAUCUUGAGUACGGAAGAGGUAUGUGGAACUCCGAGUGUAGAGGUGAAAUUCGUAGAUAUUCGGAAGAACACCAGUGGCGAAGGCGACAUACUGGUCCGUUACUGACGCUGAGGCUCGAAAGCGUGGGGAGCAAACAGG